UACGAAGGGGGCUAGCGUUGUUCGGAAUUACUGGGCGUAAAGCGCACGUAGGCGGACUAUUAAGUCAGGGGUGAAAUCCCGGGGCUCAACCCCGGAACUGCCUUUGAUACUGGUAGUCUCGAGUCCGGAAGAGGUGAGUGGAAUUCCGAGUGUAGAGGUGAAAGUUCGUAGAUAUUCGGAGGAACACCAGUGGCGAAGGCGGCUCACUGGUCCGGUACUGACGCUGAGGUGCGAAAGCGUGGGGAGCAAACAGG
rnacentral:rRNA from 1 species